GGCAUACGAGGCCGAUAGUUCGGAGAACGUGGAGAUUUCCCAACAGGAGACUCCUUCAGCCGCUGCCCAGAAGGUAAAGAUCGGGAUCUACUUCGCCACCUGGUGGGCUCUCAACGUGGUGUUCAACAUCUAUAACAAGAAGGUCCUCAAUGCCUUCCCUUACCCUUGGCUCACGUCCACCCUCUCCCUCGCCACCGGCUCCCUCAUGAUGUUGAUCUCCUGGGCCACCAGGAUCGCCGAGGCACCAAAGACCGACUUCAACUUCUGGAAAGCCCUCUUCCCGGUAAUAAAAAUCGAGUCUUUCGUUGGAUUUUGGGGUUUGUAUUGCUGCUUAUUGUCGUUCUUAGAGAUUGGUUUUCUU
rnacentral:lncRNA from 1 species